CUUACACAUGCAAGUCGAACGGAAAGGCCCUGCUUUUGUGGGGUGCUCGAGUGGCGAACGGGUGAGUAACACGUGAGUAACCUGCCCUUGACUUUGGGAUAACUUCAGGAAACUGGGGCUAAUACCGGAUAGGAGCUCCUGCUGCAUGGUGGGGGUUGGAAAGUUUCGGCGGUUGGGGAUGGACUCGCGGCUUAUCAGCUUGUUGGUGGGGUAGUGGCUUACCAAGGCUUUGACGGGUAGCCGGCCUGAGAGGGUGACCGGCCACAUUGGGACUGAGAUACGGCCCAGACUCCUACGGGAGGCAGCAGUGGGGAAUAUUGCACAAUGGGCGGAAGCCUGAUGCAGCAACGCCGCGUGCGGGAUGACGGCCUUCGGGUUGUAAACCGCUUUCGCCUGUGACGAAGCGUGAGUGACGGUAAUGGGUAAAGAAGCACCGGCUAACUACGUGCCAGCAGCCGCGGUGAUACGUAGGGUGCGAACGUUGUCCGGAUUUAUUGGGCGUAAAGGGCUCGUAGGUGGUUGAUCGCGUCGGAAGUGUAAUCUUGGGGCUUAACCCUGAGCGUGCUUUCGAUACGGGUUGACUUGAGGAAGGUAGGGGAGAAUGGAAUUCCUGGUGGAGCGGUGGAAUGCGCAGAUAUCAGGAGGAACACCAGUGGCGAAGGCGGUUCUCUGGGCCUUUCCUGACGCUGAGGAGCGAAAGCGUGGGGAGCGAACAGGCUUAGAUACCCUGGUAGUCCACGCUGUAAACGGUGGGUACUAGGUGUGGGGUCCAUUCCACGGGUUCCGUGCCGUAGCUAACGCUUUAAGUACCCCGCCUGGGGAGUACGGCCGCAAGGCUAAAACUCAAAGGAAUUGACGGGGCCCCGCACAAGCGGCGGAGCAUGCGGAUUAAUUCGAUGCAACGCGUAGAACCUUACCUGGGUUUGACAUGGAUCGGGAGCGCUCAGAGAUGGGUGUGCCUCUUUUGGGGUCGGUUCACAGGUGGUGCAUGGCUGUCGUCAGCUCGUGUCGUGAGAUGUUGGGUUAAGUCCCGCAACGAGCGCAACCCUUGUUCACUGUUGCCAGCACGUUAUGGUGGGGACUCAGUGGAGACCGCCGGGGUCAACUCGGAGGAAGGUGGGGAUGACGUCAAGUCAUCAUGCCCCUUAUGUCCAGGGCUUCACGCAUGCUACAAUGGCUGGUACAGAGAGUGGCGAGCCUGUGAGGGUGAGCGAAUCUCGGAAAGCCGGUCUCAGUUCGGAUUGGGGUCUGCAACUCGACCUCAUGAAGUCGGAGUCGCUAGUAAUCGCAGAUCAGCAACGCUGCGGUGAAUACGUUCCCGGGGCUUGUACACACCGCCCGUCAAGUCAUGAAAGUUGGUAACACCCGAAGCCGGUGGCCUAACCGUUGUGGGGGAGCCGUCGAAGGUGGGACUGGUGAUUAGG
rnacentral:rRNA from 1 species